GGGAAUAUUGCACAAUGGGCGCAAGCCUGAUGCAGCCAUGCCGCGUGUGUGAAGAAGGCCUUCGGGUUGUAAAGCACUUUCAGCGGGGAGGAAGGCGAUGAGGUUAAUAACCUCAUCGAUUGACGUUACCCUGCAGAAGAAGCACCGGCUAACUCCGUG
rnacentral:rRNA from 1 species